AUUUUUUUCUUUCUUCUAUUACAAAACAAAAAAAAGAAAACUGUAUCAACCACCCAAAAACCGAUGACGAUAAAAUAAACAAAUGCACGCUAAAGCAGAAGCAGAUGUAAAUGUAAAUGCACGUAUCAACAACGAGAACAAAAAUUGAACCAGCGAAUCCAACAGACUGGAAGUAUGAAUGAAAGAAUAAAACAAAAACAAAUAUAGAGAAAUUUGAAUUUGUAAACUACCUAGCUAGCAAAUAUGCACGCACAAGAGCAAGAAAUGCGUAAAAUUCAAGUUAAAGAGAUGCACUGCAAGUCAGGCGUCAAGAUAUGCUCUAAGGUUGGAAUAUCGUUAGAUUUAAGGUGCAGGGUGAAAUAGGCCAACGUUGGUUAUCCGCGUCUCAACCGUACGGUAGGGGAGAGAGUCGGCGGUUUUAUAUGCGCGCAGAUUCUAAGCAUCCCUAAAAUCUGGUGGUUAUCAAGUUUGAUAACGGCAAAAAUGCAAGGACGCAAUUGGACAGCAAUAUUUUUAAUGAUUGGUUCAAAGUAACGAUCGAGAUAAGCAGAGAUCUAUAUCCGACGCAAUGAUUGGACCAAAGGCGAGCAAUGAUUAUGUAAAGAGAUUAACUUAAAGCUUUAGUGGGCAAUAGGUAACGAGAUAAGGGUAUUUAACGAUAAAAGAACAAAUUCCUUAACCAAUCGGACGACUCUGUAACCGAAAUCAACCGAACAGAGUUUAGAAUGGGUAACGAUGUAAGGGUGGUGUAAAGGUGACAAGAGCUGUUUCGGCGGGCGAGCAACAAGGCAAUGACAAUGACAAAGACAAAAGUAGAGAGAGAGGAGAGAAGAUUAAAGAGAGAGAAAAAAGACAGUAGAAAGGAGAGAAAGAAGAAAACAAGUAGAAGUAGAAAUAGAAAUGGAAAUGGAAAU